GACGAACGCUGGCGGCGUGCUUAGCACAUGCAAGUCGAACGGAAAGGCCUCUUUCGGGGGGUACUCGAGUGGCGAACGGGUGAGUAACACGUGAGUAACCUGCCCUUGACUUUGGGAUAACUUCAGGAAACUGGGGCUAAUACCGGAUAGGAGCUCCUGCUGCAUGGUGGGGGUUGGAAAGUUUCGGCGGUUGGGGAUGGACUCGCGGCUUAUCAGCUUGUUGGUGGGGUAGUGGCUUACCACGGCUUUGACGGGUAGCCGGCCUGAGGGGGUGACCGGCGACAUUGGGACUGAGAUACGGCCCAGACUCCGACGGGAGGCAGCAGUGGGGAAUAUUGCACAAUGGGUGGAAGCCUGAUGCAGCAACGCCGUGUGCGGGAUGACGGCCUUCGGGUUGUAAAACGCUUUCGCUCAUGACGCAGCUUUGUGUGACGGUAGUGGGUAAAGAAGCACCGGCUAACUACGUG
rnacentral:rRNA from 1 species